rnacentral:lncRNA from 1 species
CGUUGCUUCAUUGCUUCGCGUACCAUAUUCAUGCACAAGGACACAGUGAAGAAAGAAACGAGACAGUACAUGACGGUUCAUGCAGACGAACUCGGAUUUCACAGCUGCAUCCCGACGGUGUCUAUUGUUCUUCUCUGUUCGCUGUUUUUCUUACAGGGUCACACGGGUCAACCGCAUGAAUGGUCCGAUUAUUCCAAACCGGCCUUCCAUGCGUGAGGGGCUCGUUAGUAUUGUCCGAUUAGUUGUUUAUGCAAUAUCAGCGUCAAGACUAAAUGAAUGGGGCUUCGUCCAAAAGAGGAAACAGAGGACAUGUUGAACGACAAUAGCACGAAUAGAUUCGACGGUCUGUGCAUAUCAUUAACAAGGACUGUGUCUGGCCCCCUUGGAAAUGGAGGUGGUGGCACAGCUAAUGUUAUUUACUGUGUCAAACAGAGCGUCACUAAUUCUUUUAGUCGGUAUUGUCACUUCAAAUGCAAUAUAUACAGGUCACCGUUACACGUGUAGGUUUCCAGAGGUCCCUGUCCCGGACGGUAUACCUCGCGUGGAUCAAUUUUGCAAGCCAUGGCUGGCUAGCCUUACAGAGCUAUACAAACAACGCUUCUGCUUGUGCAAGUGGGGAUACGUACGCAACGUUUGGGGACAAUGCAUCAGGACUGAAGAGUGCUACGACUGCCGCUUCGAAGCGAACAUGGAUUUCAACCCUUGCUCCUCGACCUGCCCAGACGUCUGCGGCUGGUCAGCUCCUGCGGCUUGUGCUCAGCAGUGCGUAAAGGGUUGCGCAUGCGCACCGGGCUUUCUGAGGGCUUUCCCGGAGGGACCAUGCGUAAACGUGGCUCUGUGUCCAGGUAGAUGUCCUGGACCUCAUCAGAUUUUCACGACAUGCUCGCCGCUAUGUCCGCAGACUUGCCGCAAUCCUCACCCCAGGUGGUGUCCGUCAGUCUGCGGCGGUCAACGCUGCGUCUGCGAGCCCGGCUACGUCGCGCUAACGUUCCAUCCGCUGAC